ACUGUUCUGAGAAGAGUGGGACUUGUUUACUAGAGAACCAGCCUGUGACUCCUGGGGAAAGGGGGUGGAGAGGGGGAAAAUACGGGAGAGAGUGAGGCAACUGGGGCUCAAAACAGUCAAAUUCAAAUUAAAAGGUCAAGACACGAUUCAGCUUGGCCCCUGGGCCUGGGAGCUUCGGACCACAAGUCUUGGAGAUUAACUGAGUUGCAAGUUCAUUGUGGGGACUGAGAAUCUCCAGUGUUUGGAGUGGGCCCGGGAACGGCUCGGCUCACGGCCAUCUCAGGCAAAAAGAGAACCCCGGUGGAUUUAGGGAUCCCUGGAGGAGGAAGCUGAAGAUUAGAGGAAACGGAAUCCGGAGAAUAACUUGUCUUUCCGGUAGCCCCGCAUUUUUCCCCAGGCAGAGGCUGUGGACUUUCCUUUUUCCGAAGGACCAGAGCCUGGCUGGGAAAGGAUUCCUGGGCCUGACGCACCGGCAUGGAUGAGAGAAGAAGCUGGACCGAUUUCUGGAGGCCCUAGCCGGCUGUGAUGGAAGAAGACUAAGGAAAGAAUUGUGCCCCGAAUUCCCCCAACCAGGAGAAGAAGACCCAGGGGUCCCUUAAUUCCAGGGGCGGGGGGGGGGGAAUGGAAAGAUCUCUGGAGUUUGUGACUUAUUUGCAACUGGCAGGGAAGAUCUGAAAUAGUUUUAUGUUUUCGUUUGCAGGGGUCACCCUGGAUUCAGCCUGGGGGUUAUCCAGGGCAAGGUUAGGCUGUUUAGGCCCCAGACCAGACUUGGGACAGUCCCCAGCAGCAGUCAAUCGAGGGAGCCAUUUGUUCCACUGACCAUCCCGCGGGAAACAGCCGAGACUUUAUGGCCACUCUGUUUGUAUUAUCUGCAUAAGUCUUUCCCCACGAGUUUGAUCGAAACCGUUCCCUUUUACGAGGACCCAAAGAAAAUUUCCCGUCAUAUUUAUCAGCUGGGGAUAAAAAUUUAGUAUGGGAACUGAUAUUUCCUCAUUUAUGGGACGAUGAAAUUAAAGACCAAAGCAAUUGAGAAUUAUAUGGCUUUGGGGGUUCCCUCCCCCUCUUUCACAUCUCUUUAUUUCCCUCCAUGGUGUGCCUGUCCCUGGAGUCUGUCCUCUCAAAACCCUGCCCUUGUCCCCUGUUUUGGAGGCUGGUAGGGCUCUUUCUCCAACAGCCAGGUGCAGCUGGGCUACCAUAGCUCUUCCCAGCUUUUAUCUCAAGGACCGGAGGAACUAGGGAAGGGACAGUGUCUCCAUGUAGAACACGGUGUGCUGGCUGGAGAGGAGGUUUUGAGGGAAGAGCUUUGCAGGGGACAGUGGGAUUGGAACCCAGCCUCAGAUACUGAGAGUCAGAAAAUUAAGUCAACAAAUUCUAGAAUAAUCCUCAAACAACAUGCUCCCUCACAGCAACUGGCCGGCUAGCAAGAGAGAAGCAAAGUCAUUCAGCUUCUGGGCCUCUCUUCCCUACCAGCCAGAACCCCCCCCCAACCCAAGCCUACCUCUAACCUCAGCCAUGGGAGGGAAGGGAGUUGCUUCAGGAUUCUUACCAUUAUGAGUGGAAAUAAUACCCUUAGGAGAAAAGCUUCCUGCUUCAACUCCCACCUCCUCACAAGAACGAAUAGUGUUUAAAGUUGAAAUAAUUAGAAGUAUGAUAAACACGGCCCAUUAAUGAAACAAGAAAUCAAAUUCAUCAGCCUAAGUGGGACCCCCGUUGGGACAAAUGUUUGCCUCUAAUUACUCAAGAUAAACGAAAACCCAGUGCUGUUAAGCAAGAGCCUUCUGGCUUGCUCGGACGCAGACGUGACUAACUUGUUGGCUUUCCCAAGACUUUGGGAUCUAACUUAAAGGAGGUAAAAGAAAAAGAAUAAGUGAAAGUGAGGGCGGCCGGGUAGAGAGCAUCUGUGUGGGUCGAGGAAAGUCCUGUCUAGCCUGGGUCCCAAGCCCUGCCCCCUUGGGCUUGCCUUUCCUGAGUCCACGAGCAAAGGCAGUUUCCGUCCUAUUGUCCUGGCCUGGCGUUCAAAGGCAUGCGUGCCGCCUCAGCCACCCGAUCUGCUGCCACUGCCAGGCGCCCACUGGCCUUACCCAAAGGGCACCUUUGGCAACUGGAGUGGGCGCCAGGGGAAGUCUGUGUUGCUAAAGCCACCCCCAUACUUUCUUUCUUUCCUUUUUUUUUUUUUUUUUUUUUUUUUUUUUUUUUUUAAGGUUAUCUCUUCAACUUCCCCCAAUGUAGACAGCCCUACUCCUAAGCCUUACUCUGGGUCUCCCCUUUUCUUACCUCAACAAGGAAGUGAAAAUUCCGGGGGACUGCAGGCCAAAGUGGGGCAAAGGCUGUGCCUAUGUCUCAAUUAAUCCCACCCACCCUAAGAGGAAGGCCCAGGCCCCUUUUACUCUUCCCGCCCCGGUAUCCAGACACUGAAGUACAGCCCUGUUGACUGGACUGGGCCGCCUAGGCCUCCUGCGGCCUUUGGGUCGGUGAGCAAAGGAACAGAAGAGGGUUCAGGGGCUACUGGCUGACUCCAGAAGGGCCCAGCAGUUCUUCGGGGCCAGACACCCUAAGGUUCCCUGUAAAUGGAUUAGAAUGAAGCUAGGCUCUUUUCAGCAGAAGCCCUCAAAUCGUCCCAGCAGCACCCUGUUUCGUCCUCUGAAAAUUGUCGGAGUUUCCUUGAGAGGUUAAGGAUGAUCUGGGAAAUUCUGAAGAUGAUGAAAAAGAAGGAAGAGUGUAUCUCCUUUUGGAAUAAAAAUAAUUAAAUACAGUUUAAAAAUGCGCAUACUGAAAUCUCUUCAAGCAAAAAUGGAAAACAAAAUCACACCAUUGACUAUUGGGAUUUUCUUCAUGUUUUGGAGGCCGAGAUUAAUCUUUCUUUUCCCAAAUCUUGCAGGAACAAUUCGCUUUUCUUCCAGAGUACCACUUGAAUUGAGAGCAGGGGAACUCCAAGCAAAAAGUGGAAUGCUCAGAGGUUCAAGGGGAAAGGGUUUCAAACAGGUAAAAGAGGUAUGAAGCUGAGGACGGAUAAAGGGCUUCUGUUCUAUUUCGGAUUUUGCAGCCACCCGGGCAAGCAGCGCCGCCAGCAGACUCGCUCUCACAUCUAGACAGUGUACACACUUGCACCCACAGGCUCUAUAGCGUCUAUCCACACAUGUCCAGCUUGCACUUAAUUGCACGGACACAGCCUCGAUUAUUUACUUCUAUCCAAAGCGCUUCCUGCAGUUCUUGAAUCCUGAAGUUCGCUAUCCCGCGUCAGCCCGACUGCUUCCUGGCCCUUCUGAAACCAGUUAUUUAACCUUGCCUAUGGAAUCGAAACCAGACCGCACAGACCUCAGAGAGAAAUGUUAGGAGGAGGAGCCCAAAGGGAGGAGGUCUUGUGGGGGGAAGACCUUGGUCCCCACUUUAAUGGUUUGUUUCUGAGUUGCCUCUGUAGGUCAGAUUUCUAGUCAGUGUAGACUGGUUGGGCUGCCUUGCUCCUGAGGGAAAAAACGUAAAAACAAAAACAAAAACAAAACAAAACAACAACAACAAAAAACAACCAAAAACAGGAUCUUCCUUCACCAGCUAAAUUUCUUUUCAACGGUUUUUUCUUUUCUUCUGUUUCCUUUUUCUUCCUUUCUCUCAUUUUUCCUCUCCUGCUUUCUCUUCUUUUUCUUUUUUCUCUGUAAUUCCCCGGCCCCCAAGAAUUUAAUUUGUUGUCUUGUUUCCCCCUUUCCCUUUUUCUACUUUAUUAUAAACAUUAUCCUUUGCUUUCUUUGAUUCCUUGCUGCCCCUCGACUUUUAAUCCCCCCACCCAGGCUUACUUAUUUUUUUCUGUUGUGCUGGGUUAUGUGAAUAGGAUAAAGACAGGCCGGAUCCAUGACUCCUCAUUCCAGUUGCUCCAGCUUGAAGUUGACCUUCCGCCUUCAGCCUCAGCUCAGCUCAGCUCAGCUCCUCACAAGGCGAAGUGUACAACAGUCAGCCAGCAGAGGUGGCCAGGCCUCAGAGUCGCCAUUAGAGAGAAGGGAAUGCCGACUCAGAGGCACCUCCCAUCCAUGCCAAAGGCUCCUUGAAAUGCCAGGCUCCAGGGGUUCCAUGUCAUCUUCAUUUCCAGCAUGCUAAAGAAACUUGGUCCAUCAGAUCCAUAAUUAAAGAAAAGCUCCCUUAUCUUU